rnacentral:rRNA from 1 species
GACGAACGCUGGCGGCGUGCCUAAUACAUGCAAGUAGAACGCUGAAGGAGGAGCUUGCUUCUCUGGAUGAGUUGCGAACGGGUGAGUAACGCGUAGGUAACCUGCCUGGUAGCGGGGGAUAACUAUUGGAAACGAUAGCUAAUACCGCAUAAGAGUAGAUGUUGCAUGACAUUUGCUUAAAAGGUGCAAUUGCAUCACUACCAGAUGGACCUGCGUUGUAUUAGCUAGUUGGUGAGGUAACGGCUCACCAAGGCAACGAUACAUAGCCGACCUGAGAGGGUGAUCGGCCACACUGGGACUGAGACACGGCCCAGACUCCUACGGGAGGCAGCAGUAGGGAAUCUUCGGCAAUGGACGGAAGUCUGACCGAGCAACGCCGCGGGAGUGAAGAAGGUUUUCGGAUCGUAAAGCUCUGUUGUAAGAGAAGAACGAGUGUGAGAGUGGAAAGUUCACACUGUGACGGUAUCUUACCAGAAAGAGACGGCUAACUACGUG